CGGGGAUUGGAUUCGUUAAGAAUGCGAGUCGAGUAUAAUUUGGUCUCGGCGGACCGCUCAGUAACACGCGGAUAACAUGCCCUUGGGUGGGGGAUAACCUCGGGAAACUGAGAAUAAUACCCCAUAGACCUCGAAAGCUGGAAUGCCUCAAGGUCGAAAACUCCGGUGCCCAAGGAUUGGUCUGCGGCGUAUCAGGUCGUAGUGGGUGUAACGUACCCCCUAGCCUAUGACGCGUAAGGGCCUUGAGAGAGGGAGCCCUGAGAUGGACUCUGAGACAUGAGUCCAGGCCCUACGGGGCGCAGCAGUCGCGAAACCUUCGCAAUGUGGGAAACCACGACGAGGGAAUUCCAAGUGCUAAUGCAAUGCAUUAGCUGUUCUCCCGUCUAAAAAACAGGAGAAGUAAGGGCUGGGUAAGACGGGUGCCAGCCCGCCCGCGGUAAUCCCCGCGGCCCGAGUGGUGCUCGAUUUUUUUGAGCUUAAAGCGUACGUAGCCGGUCUUGUAAAUCCUUGGGUAAAUCGGGCAGCUUAACUGUUUCGACUUCCGAGGAGAUUGCAUGACUUGGGACCGGGAGAGGUCAGAGGUACCUUUGGGGUAGGGGUAAAAUCCUGUAAUCCUGAAGGGACCAACCAGUGGCAAAGGCGUCUGACUAGAACGGGAUCCGACGGUGAGGAACGAAGCCCUGGGGCGCAAACGGGAUUAGAUACCCCGGUAGUCCAGGGUGUAAACGCUGCGGGGCUUGGUGUCGGGGGUCCUACGGGGGCGCCCGGUGCCGGAGAGAAAUUGUUAAGCCUGCCGCUUGGGGAGUACGGUCGCAAGACUGAACUUAAAG
rnacentral:rRNA from 1 species